rnacentral:rRNA from 1 species
AGUGAACGCUGGCGGUAGGCCAAACACAUGCAAGUCGAACGGCAGCACAGGAGAGCUUGCUCUCUGGGUGGCGAGUGGCGGACGGGUGAGGAAUACAUCGGAAUCUACUCUGUCGUGGGGGAUAACGUAGGGAAACUUACGCUAAUACCGCAUACGACCUACGGGUGAAAGCAGGGGAUCUUCGGACCUUGCGCGAUUGAAUGAGCCGAUGUCGGAUUAGCUAGUUGGCGGGGUAAAGGCCCACCAAGGCGACGAUCCGUAGCUGGUCUGAGGGGAUGACAAACCCCACUGAAACUGAGACACGGUCCAGACUCCUACGGGAGGAAGCAGUGGGGAAUAUUGGACAAUGGGCGCAAGCCUGAUCCAGCCAUACCGCGUGGGUGAAGAAGGCCUUCGGGUUGUAAGGCCCUUUUGUUGGGAAAGAAAUCCAGCUGGCUAAUACCCGGUUGGGAUGACGGUACCCAAAGAAUAAGCACCGGCUAACUUCGUGCCAGCAGCCGCCGUAA